GCGGGCAAGGCGCACAUGACCCCGGGAAUGAGCCACAGACAAUGGCAGACGGCCCAGAGAGUCGGGAAUGCUCAGUGCCUGUCGGUUCCAACGGAAAAGGAGCACAGCAGCUUCCAGACCACCUCCCUCCUCACAGAAGUACCUGAACUGGAGGAGCAUCAGGACCCUGGCAAGGCACCUGCCCAGCUGCUGCGAUCUCUGCCAUCCGCUUCUCCAUCUGCUCCAGUCGCUCUAGUAUGGACAUCCGGAACUGGUUGUCUGAGGGGGAACGGGUAUGGGAGGCUGAGUGGGCAGUCUAGGUGAUGCCCUGAACACCAAAAGUAGACCUGUCCCAAGAUCUGGGGAUGAGGACACAGAACCAUAUUCUUUUAUCUUCCCCAAAACAACAGCUCCUUUACCCCUUCACCUAAAUAAAGCCCACCAGGACUCAGUCCUUAAA
ensembl:lncRNA novel transcript, antisense to CAMTA2